CUCCGGGUGCCUCGCCUCGCCCAGCCGGCAGGCGGCGUGCCUGACCUCCGCAUUUCCAGCACCAGCCCACGCAGGACUAGGGACAGGUGACUUGGAGGAAACUGUGGAAGCCAGUAAGCCAAAAGGCCUGGAAGCGGAUACAAAAGGCAACCUUCUGAUGGUGUGCACAGGAUGAGGAGACGACUGUAGUGAGGGCCCAGGCCUGUGGGAUGUGAUGGUGUUCCCAGGACAUCUGAGACUGUGAUGUAAGGAUGCCCGCACUCGAGGUGUGCUUUGCUGUUUCUCAGUUUCCUUUAUCUGACAUUUCUACACAGCCAAAGGGAGAGAACACAUCCAAGUGAAAUGUCAGGAGUUGGAAGCAGGAGACACCAACAGAAAGAUUUCCUCCUACUGGGGCAAAAAGACAACCGCGUAUGGAGGGAAGGAACAGGGGAACUGUCUGGACAGCUCUGAUGUCCUUCAGCCACAGAGUCAGGAGUACCAGAGGAGACUGUGAAGGAGGUGAGAGGAGCUGGAAGCUCUUCAUUUGUGGCCCUGAUGGCACUUUCCCUUUCCACUCUGACAUGACUGCUGUUUCCUCUCCCUUGAGCACGGGGGUGGAACAGGGGCAGCUCUGCGGGAGACUCUUCUUUGAUCAGCCACCGACCAAGGCCUGCCAAGCGCUGCCACAGGUCAUACUUCUUAUUGCAAUCAAAGGAGGUGCCUGGAGAAGAGGUGUCCUGUGGAAGAGUGGACACGGACUUUCUGAGGUAUGUCUGUGUACCACCUGAUGCCCUCAGAGGCCAGAAAAGAGCAUUGGAUCCCCUGGAACUGGAGUUAUAAAUGGUUCUUGGGCCACUAUUCAACCCUGGAGCCCUGGAAGAGCAACAAGUGUUCUUUACUGUUGAGAGAUUGGUGCUGCUGUCAGAGUUCAUCAGACUCGUUUCUUUGUCCAGUGGAGAUUAAUGCAGAAACUCACAGCUGGUCCGAGUACAGAUAAGUGUCAGUAGAAAGCUCAGCCAUAAGUGGGACAUCUCUAUCACCAUCACCCACCACGGCUCGGGCACCGUGGUAUAAGAGAGGACAGGAGGAUUGUAGGAACCAGAGGUUUAAAAGGAUCAGAGUGAAACAGCAUCUUCUGGCCACAACAGGACCACUGAACUCACAAGAACAGUGUUUGCCUGCACAAGACCUGUAUCCACAUCCUAACACACAGCAGGGAGGACCACGUGAGCCCCCACCCCUAAACGAGGAGCGACUGACAGCCAACAGCUUAUGCGGAAGGGAGAGAGAGGGUUUGCUUUAAGGGUGUGGCCCCCUGAUAGGUGAAUCACACUCCAGUGGGAGGCCCCACACCCAUGAAUAAAUGGACAGCAGGAACUGGACUUGAAGGUUUUUUUUUAAAAAAGAGAAAGAGGGAAGGGACACGAAGUUGGAGGGGUAGGGAGGAAAGAGAUGGAUGUUCAAGGAGUUGGGAGUGUGGAUCUUGGAGCUGUUAGGGAGAGGAGUU